rnacentral:rRNA from 1 species
UGGGGAAUAUUGCACAAUGGGGGAAACCCUGAUGCAGCGACGCCGCGUGAGGGAAGAAGGUUUUCGGAUUGUAAACCUCUGUCUUUGGUGAAGAUAAUGACGGUAACCAAAGAGGAAGCCACGGCUAACUACGUGCCAGCAGCCGCGGUAAUACGUAGGUGGCAAGCGUUGUCCGGAAUUACUGGGUGUAAAGGGAGCGUAGGCGGGAAUGUAAGUUAGGUGUUAAAUCUAUCGGCUCAACCGGUAGCCGCACUUAAAACUGCAUUUCUUGAGUGGAGUAGAGGCAAGCGGAAUUCCCGGUGUAGCGGUGGAAUGCGUAGAUAUCGGGAGGAACACCAGUGGCGAAGGCGGCUUGCUGGGCUCUAACUGACGCUGAGGCUCGAAAGCGUGGGUAGCAAACA